rnacentral:rRNA from 1 species
UACGAAGGGGGCUAGCGUUGCUCGGAAUUACUGGGCGUAAAGCGCACGUAGGCGGCUUUCUAAGUCGGGGGUGAAAUCCUGGAGCUCAACUCCAGAACUGCCUUCGAUACUGGAAAGCUCGAGUCCGGGAGAGGUGAGUGGAACUGCGAGUGUAGAGGUGAAAUUCGUAGAUAUUCGCAAGAACACCAGUGGCGAAGGCGGCUCACUGGCCCGGUACUGACGCUGAGGAGCGAAAGCGUGGGGAGCGAACAGG